CAAUACCCUUCUCAAUCUCUUUCUCAUCAAGAGUGGAAGAAACUUUUAUUAUAGCAUCCAACCACUAGUGUCACAAAUUAAGGUAACAUAAUUAUUAAAAUCAUAAAUAUUAAAACUAUUUUAUAUAUGUAUUUGUAUGCAUGUAUAUCCUCUAAAAGAAAUAGGGUUAAAUAAGUAAAUGGUUCCUAAAUACAUAAAAAUUUGAUUUUAGUCCCCUUAAAACAUUAUUUAGGUUUUUGGUUCCUAAAAAAAAUUUCAUCCGUGAAAUUAGUCUCAAUGUAGAGCAGAGACCAAUUUAAUGGAUAAAAAGUUUUAGAGGGACCAAAAAUCUAAGAAAUAUUUUAGAGGGACUAAAAUCAAAUGUUGAUAUAUUUAGGGAAACUAUUUACAUAUUUAACAAAAAAAAAAAAAAACAUCGAUAAGUUGACCACCUCAUGUAGCAUACACCCUUCGGUCACUAUUAUAAGCAAAAUUUUGCAUUUUAGAUUCAUUCAUUAAAUGAUGUAUGUAGUCUAUAAUAAAGACCAGAUACAUCAUUAAUUGAAUGAAUCUAAAAUGCAAAAUUUUACUUAUAAUAGUGACCGGAGGGUGUACACAUCUUAUACCUCCACACACACUUGUACCUCCACACACAAAUAUAACAAGUAGCGACGUGGUUCCCACACACUUACCAACUUUGUCUCUCAUUCUCUCUUCUCCCUGGUGCCACAUAAGAGUGUACAAGGAUGGUAAAAAAAGGUGUCAACUUAUAAUUAAAAAAAAAAUAGAAAGGCUAACAAGGGCACUUGUUAAGAAGUUUAAAGAGAAAAUUUUAUCUUGGGAAUGAUGUAUUCAAUACAUUAAAAAUUUAAAAAGUAAUUUUUUCUACCUAAAAUUUAUAAAUUACUUCUAUUUUUGAAUCUUUAACUAUUACCCUGAGACUUUUAACAAGACUCAUAAAAAAUAUGUGUAUAUGUGUGUGAAGUUGGAUUAGAGUUACAUAAACAAAAUGAGAGAGAGAGAGAGAUAAUUACUUUAUCAUCUAUGAACUUGGACCAGAAACGUGCCAAGGCUCUUUUAGAAGGAUCAGAAGGCAAGAUAGGAUUUUGUUUCCAAGUCUCAUCAAUAUAUUCAAUAAUCACAAGAGAUUCUGCUAUAGGCUUAUCAUUAUGAACUAAUACAGGAACCUUCUUAUAAACAGGGUUGUAAUUGAUGAGUGUAUCACUCAAGUUCUGAAACUUUUCUACCUCAUAUUUGUAUUCAACUCCUUUCAGUUUUAGAGCAAUCUCCACCCUGCACACAAAUGGACUUGCCUUCAUUCCAAAAAGCUUCACCUCUUCCUUGUUUGAUGCCAUCGUAGUGCUCCAGUUACUCAUUGAUUGAUUCUAAGAUCUACUUUUUUAUAUAGAGCCUGGGGUAUUAAUUUUCAAUUAAUAUUCUAAGAUAUGGAAUUUUUAUAUAACAAAAAGUGGAAGUCAACUAGGAAAACUAUAUUCCAGUAAAAAAAAUAUUGAACCGUAUUCUAUUAAGCAAACUGAUCAUUCGAUACACACGUGUCGGGAGUUGAGACAUCAUAAAUGGACGGAGCUUUAAUAGAUUUUUGGGUUCGAAUUAAAUAUUGGAUAUACGAUAGCUUUAAAACUUUUAUAGAGAGUUUAUUGUCCAUUUAAAUUUUAUAAGACUUGAUAUUUACAAACAAAAAUUGGUCUUUUUUAGAAAUCAUACUAUUGAGCUACUAUUUAUAUCUACUUGUUUCGUAAAAAAAAUCUUGCGUGAUGUUAGCAUUAUUCAUCGAUGAAUUGAAACAUUACUUACAAUUUACGUAAUGUGGGUUACUAUUAAUUUGUUAGUACUUGAUUUGAGUUUUUUUUUUUUUUUUGAAAAAUAGUUUAUAAUUAAGGACAGAUAUAAAUUUAAGGUUGUUAUAUUUAAAAAUAAUUCUUGUAAUAAAAGAUACUUAUAUUUAGAAUCAGUGGUAAUAUUUUCCUAUUAAAUUUUUUUUGACUACGUGAAGUCGUGAAUGCCCAAAAUAGUGAUGUAAGGGAUUACGUAACCACAAGUGCUCAGAAAGUUUUGGGCAAAGACCAAGAGCAUAUUUAAUCGGGCGUCUCUCUUAUCUAAUAGAGACUUCAUUUUAUUUUGAACUCUAUUAGAGAAAGAAAAAAAAAAAAAAGACACAUAUCAGUUAUCAUCAUUCAUAAGUUAUCAUCAUAUUAUAAUAAAUUAUGUAUGUGUGAUCCAUUUAAGGUCUCUUUUUUAGUUUCCUACCACUGUAGAUGUUCUAAGGGUCUCAUUUGAUAAACACUUUGAUUAAGCUUUAAUACAAUAAAAGUAUAUCUAUGUUUAUUGCUUUUUAUAUAAGUGUUUUUUUAUUUUUUUUCUAUAUAUUAAUACAAUAAAAGUUUAUCAUAUACAUCUCCGUGGGUAUAACUCAGUUGGCAGAGACAUGCAUUGUUAUAUGCAGGGGUCGGGAUUCGAACCUCGGACACCCCACUUAUUCUCUUUAAAAAAGGUUAAUUCUAUACACUAAAGGUGAAUUGUGUUUUCUUUUUCAAAACAUUUCUAAAUGUUUGGUAAAACAGUUCAGAGGGUAGUCUAGUCAUCACGAACUUUCAAGAAAUUUUCAUUAUAAUCACUAAGAUUACAAAAUGCUUAAACACACAAGCAAUAUACUUCCUUUGCUCAAUCACACAAGAAAGAGAUUUUCAAUGCUCAAGGACACAAGCAAAAAACUUAUAUAAACUAACUUAAUCAAAUAAAAUAUUGUUUGGGUUCACACUUGAUAUACAAUAAAAGGUGUAAUACAAUAAAAUUUAGAUAAACUGCGAGACAUAAGAAUUUCUAAAUUAUUAAAGUUCAUAAGAAAUUCUCUAGUGUUUUCUUUUUCAAAACUUUCUUCUAAAUGUUUGGUAAAAUAGUUCUGAGUUUGAAGCAAAAACACAAGACAAUUUAUAUAUACUAGUUGCUCUCACAAACCGAGAGUAGUAUAAUCCUCAUGCAUUUUUAAGAGAUUUUCACUAUAAUUACUAAGAUUACAAAAUGCUCAAGCACAAAAGCAAUAUCCUUCCUUUGCUCAAUCACACAAGAAAUAGACUUUCAAUGCUCAAACACACAAGUAAAAAACUUAUAUAAUCUAACUUAAUCAAAUAAAAGAUUGUUUGGUUUUACAUUUGAUAUACAAUCAGAAUGUAAUACAAUAAAGUAACUCUGUCUUGCAUAUAUUAUGUAUUAUCUCUUACCAAAUGAAUUAAGUUCAUGCGGACGUCGAACAUGUAACUUUAUGUAUAAUAAUUGUUAAAUAGUAUAAGAGAGGUGUGGGUUGAUUGGGGUGAAGACUUAAAAAGGAGUUAAAUCCGUUAGAUUGGUAACGAGUUGAAUCUACAACCCAUUCUCUCCAACCUUGUAUUUCUUCACCAAACCAAAAUAUUGCAUUUUUUGUAUAAAUUUUUUUUUGUUCUAUCUGAAGUUGCACGAAGAAGCUCUUACCACUAAGCUAGUUGCAUGGUUUUAGUUUCUUGUGAAAUUAUAAUUAUUAUUUUUUAUAACUUCAAAUGUUAUGGAACUCGGUUACAAUUUUAUACACUUUGAAUGAAAAGUAUUUAGGUAUAUGAUUUGUUGUCACGUCAUUUUAUGAAUAUGAUAAAUUAUAUAUAAGUUUUAAUUUCAUUAAAUGAUAUUUUCAUACAUCACUGUACAUUUUAUUAUACUAAUAACAUAUACAAAUUAAAAUGAUUUUGUUAUAAAGUCGUAUGUCAUUUUCUCUGAAAUAAGGAUUUAUAACUACAAUAGGAUUAACAAGAACAACAAAAUCCUAGAAUUUCUUAACCAAGAAGAAAUCCUAGGUUGCAUAUAUCUAGUAUGACAUCAAAAUUUAAACAGAAACUAAAAUGACAAACAAGUAGUUUAGACAUUUUCCUUAAAUUUCACAAGUACAUAUCACCUUAAAUUGACCUAUUUUGAACCAAAAUGUUCUUCAUAACGACCUUUGUAGAAAGCCAAAAGGGUCUCUCUAGGAGGCAAUUUUUCCUUAACAAUUGGGUGAUUGUUGAAUUCUUGGCUCCAAUUGUAAAGCUUUGGAAAUUCCUCAAUAGUGAACAAUUUCAGUCCAAAUGCUUCUUGUAUAGGAGAGAACCAAAAAGAUAUGACCACAGCAGCAAUGUCAACAAAACCAAUAUCCUCCCCACCAAAGAAUUUGUCCUUGAGCUCAUUCUCAAGAAAAUGAAGAGCCUCUUUUGUUUCCUCAAUACUCUUCUCACGUUCUUUCUCAUCAAGAGGGAAACAAACUUUCCGUGCACCAUUGGAGCACUAGUCUCACAAAUUAAGGUCAUUAUUAGAAGUAAGAAAAAACAAAUGUUAGGCACACUGAGUUAGUAGUAUAAGUUAAUUUUUUUUCUUUGUCAAAUAUCACACAUGGUCUUUUAAGUUAGAUGUUUAUAACAAGUUAAUCUUUUAAUUUUCUUUUGUUAUUAAUUAGUUCUUUAAGUCGAAAAAUAUCAGCACUAUGAUUUUAUUUUCAUCAAACUCAGUUAAAAUGUGUUUUUGUGCACGUUUAAUAUUUAGUUGGUAUGUAUAAAUAAAUAAAAUAUUCCUUUAAGCAAUCAAAAUUAUUAUGCUAAAAAACAAACAAUUGAGUUCAAGUGAGUAAUGAAUUCCACCAAAUGAUAAAUUUUUCGUAAGAAUCUGAGAUUGAUUUCUAAUAAAACUAUUCUUUAUUAGACUGUAUUUUACUUAUCUUUUGGGUGACCUGAGGAUUAUGAGGAUCCUUUUCCCUUGAUAAUUGAAUGGUUAACACCCAAAAUAAAAUUAUUUUGUUAAUCAAAGUUAAUCAAAUGAACCUAAGAUCUCAAUCUUUCUUUGUUGAACGACAUGGGCAUAAGAGCAUUCACAAUGGAGACACUCAUUUUUUGGUACUUAAAUGAGUUCCACGUGUACAUAUCACCCGUUUUUAAUUUUUUAAUAAUAGUACCUAAUAAGUACUCAAAUACUCAAUCCCUCCAACCCAGCAUCUCACAAAAAUUUCUUAAAUGAAAUUCAAUAAUCAACUAUUACCUUCGACCCUAAAUAUAUGAGCCUUUUGCCAAAAUUGCGGGGAUUAACAAAGUUGGUUGUAGUAUUAAAUUUGUAUAUAAUUACUAUUGUUUUUACAAUUUUAUCCUUAAGAGAGAGAGUAAAUUUAUGUUUUCAAUAUAAUAUUUAUUGUUGAUUGAAGAAAAAAUGCAAAAUAAAUAUGGGUGUGUUGGUAAAGAAAUAAUUAAUGUACUUGGAAACACCAAAAGGAUCUUAUAAAAAGGGACAAAUUAUUUUUCAAAAGGAUCUUAUAAUUAGGACGGAGGUAGUAUCAAUUACUUUAUAUCAUUACAUUUCAAUUUUUUAAUAUUGAAAGAGUGUGAAUCCUGCUUAAGAUUGAGGUCUUAAGUAAGACCCCGAAAAAAAAUUCUCCGAUGGAAUACCUAAUAGGUACCAAAUUUUAAAUGUUGAAAACCUCCUUUAGAGAUGGUCUAAGGACACACAUAAGAUCUCUAAUUUACUUGGUCAACUAUUUAGUGCUAACUAAAGUUGGAUAUAUGAACUUGGACUUGAGUUACACAGAAAAAUAGAAGAGGGGAGUAAUUACCUUAUCAUCAAUGAAAUUGGACCAGAAACGAGCCAAGGCUCUUUUGGAAGGAUCAGAAGGCAAUAUGGGAUUUUGUUUCCAAGUCUCAUCAAUAUAUUCAAGAAUCACAAGGGACUCUGAUAUGGGCUUAUCAUUAUGAAUAAAAACAGGAACUUUCUUAUAAACAGGGUUGUAUUUUUUGAGUGUCUCACUCAAGUUCCCAACCUUUUCUUGCUCAUAUUUGUAUUCAACUCCCUUAAGUUUUAGAGCAAUCUCCACCCUUGUUACAAAUGGACUUUCAACCAAUCCAAAAACCUUCACCUCUUCCUUAUUUGAUGCCAUCGUAGGGCUUGAUCAAUUCUGUACUCAAACAACUGGUUUGGUCAUUGAUUGAUUCCUAGGAUUUACUUUUAUAUAUAGAGCAAGGAUUAUUUUUCAACAAAAACGGUAGUCAACUAUAGAAAACUAGUAAAAAGUAAACUAGAAAACUAUAAUAAAUUCAGAAAUAAUUAAUUAUUCGAUACACAUGUAUAGACACUGUACCCCUUAAAAAAUGUAUAGACACUAUGUACGAGGGUGAAGCUGAACCGAACCAAACUGAAUUGUUUGCUAAAUUUAAAAUAAUUGAACUGAACUGUUUACAUUUCGAAUUGAACUGAACUGUUUCAAACCGAACUGAAUUGUUCCGAACUGAAUCGAACUGUUUAUAAUCGAACUGAAUUGUUUUGAACCGAACUGAAUUAUUUCAGAACUGUCAGUAAUAGUUCAGUUUUUGUUUAGUUUAGUUCAGUUCGGUUUUUUUAUUUUUUUUGCCUACCCCUAAUUGUGUAUCGACCCUUUAUGUCAAAUUUUUUUUACAUAAAAAUGCUAAUAAGUGUUCUUGAUGCAUUGUUUAAGCAACAAAAAAUAAUAUUUUUUGUAUAAAAAUUUAUAUAAUUAUUACUUUUAAAUGUGUUUGACUUAUAAUUUUAAGAUAAAAUUUCUUAUAAUAGAUUCCUUGAACAAUACUCUUAAAACACUUGUUAACAUAAUCUUUUUUAUAAACAAAUAUUAGUUUUGUGGAAAUCAAAUACUUGAAAAAAGGAUUAAAAAAAUUAUAUCUACGUAAAUGUCCAAAAAGUGAUGUAAGGGAUUACAUUCCUAUAAGCAAUGAGUUUCGAGAAACUUUAGGCAAACACAAGCUAAAGAGUUUUUCAAAUCUGCUUACACAGAACUAAUUUUGAUGAAAGCACUAAUCCUUUUACAUACAAAAAUUAAAUAAUCUCAAUGAAUAAAAGACUUAUAUUAGUAAAACCAAACAAAUAAAUAAAUGUUUAUCAUAUAACCCUAAUAAAUAGGUGUUUAGUUACUCAUGAUAACAAAAGACAUGAUACAAAAGAAAUAAAACAUACUUUAAAUACAUAGGUUGAGGAGAGAGACUACUCUUGAUGUUCUUAAUGGUUGCCUUUCUCUUGAAUAACCAAGUUUUGAUUGAGAAUUCGUGAAUAAGAGCUCUUGUUUUUAUAUGCAUAUAUUAUGAAUUGGGUUAAAAAACUGGUUUUUUUUCUUUCUUCCCAAACACGCAGAGAAAAAAUAGCAUAUAACUAUUUUGUCAGGGACCAAGGUGUGCGCCGCGCGUUGGGGCACAUGUCUAGCAUGUGGUAGCUGAUAACGAGCUUUUUUCUCUUAGUUCCAUGCGCCUGGGGUGUGUGGCCUCGAUGGCCACUAUUCCGUUUUUGUGUUUUUCUUCGUCUUUUCGAGUGUUUUUCUUUCUCCGAUUUGGUUUUAAGGUUUGAGACAUAAUUUCUCCAACUUGUAAUGUAUUCAUAGUUUCUAGAAUUUCAUUCCAUGUCUUCCAAAACCUUCACGAGGUAUCUUGUUUGCCGAAUUACAUGAUUUUUCACUAAAAGACUCAAAACACUUAUGAAAUUGUUUGAUUUAUGGAGGAAACAAAAUUACAUGACUUGAUUUGAUAACAUUUCAAAAUGUCCCUUAAACCAUGAGCAACUUCUCUAAAAAUCCUCUUUUUUGACUCAAGUAACUAUUAAAAUAACUAAAAAACAUGCUGAAAAUAACGUAAGAUAACAUGUCAUCAUCUCUCAUGCAAAUGGAUAUCAAUAAUGCAUUUCUCAAUGACAUUCUCAAUUGAGAAGUCUAUAUGUAUCAACCAGUCGGUGUAAUAUAUCAACAAGUCAUUGAACCACACAUCGUUGAUCUUGUUGGUAACCAUUCUUUCUCACAAACUUAUAAGAUUAUUUUACUAGCUUAUUGACAGAGCUUGACAACGGGGGGACUUCUAACUUUUGUUGAUAAUUUUAUGAAUUAUUUAUUUUUUAAAUUUAUAGUAGAAUAUAAAAUAUAAAAAAUAAAAUAAAACAAUGAUAAGUUUUAGUGAUAGCCGCAGCCGUAGGUAGAUAUCCUUAAUGUUUUAAAAUGGUAACCUUAGAAUUAUACUCUACGGUUUUGUCCGUAGGUAAAGGUGGAAAACAUGCGGUGACAGCCAUUUGACAAUGACAAACAGGCACAUUUUCGUUGUUAGUUGUUGAGAAUAAUGCACAGACAAUAUCCUCGAGACAUUUGGCUAAGGAAAUUAACACUAUAAUGAUGAAUUUCAAAUCUCAUUAUACAGGUCAACUUUUUUUUAUAGUGAUACAAAGAAAGUAUGGUUGAACCCGGAUAUGUGCCCGACUUGCUUGGGGGUAAAACCGCCCCUAACCAAUAAUAUGCAAGCAUUGAAGCGUGUUAUGUGCUAUUUGAAACAUAUUAUCUCACAUGGAUCACAUAGUAUCUUUCAUUUUUAGUCUCUCAAUACAAUAUCAUUUUUAGUCUCUCAAUACAUAUCAUAUUUGGAAGACCAUUGCUUGAAAAGCAAAAGAUAACAUAUAUUUUCCUUCCCCGUUAAAAAAUUAUUUUUACAGACAAAAAAAUAGUAGUCUAUCACUCGUGGAUUUCAUGGAAUAAGAAUUUGUAACUAAAAUAGUAAACCUGAACAACAAAACCCUAGAAUUUUUUAACCAUGGAGAUAUCUAGGUUGCAUUAUAUCUAGUAUGACAUCAAAAUUCAAACAGAAACUAAAAUGACAAACAAGUAGUUUUGACAUUUUUCCUUAAAUAUCACAAGUACAUAUCACCUUAAAUUGAUCUAUUUUGAACCAAAAUGUUCUUCAUAACGACCUUUGUAGAAUGUCAAAAGGAUCUCUCUAGGAGGCAAUUUUUCAUUAACAAUUGGAUGGUUGUUGAAUUCUUGGCUCCAAUUAUAAAGCUUGGGAAAUUCCUCACUAGUGAACAAUUUCAGUCCAAAUGCUUCUUCUAUAGGAGAGAUCCAAAAAGAUAUGAUCACAGCAGCAAUGUCAACAAAACCAAUAUCCUCUCCACCAAAGAAUUUGUCUUUGAGCUCAUUCUCAAGAAAUCGAAGAGCCUCUUUUGUUUCCUCAAUACUCUUCUCACGUUCUUUCUCAUCAAAAGUGAAACAAGCUUUCCGUACAUCAUUCAUACACUGGUCCCACAAAUUAAGGCAAUUAUUAAAUUAUCCAUGUUAACAGUGGAAGAAAAAAAUGCUAACUUCUGCUUUGUGAUAUAAGUUUAGAAGUUAAAUGUAAAAGUUUUUUUUAUUAGAAAUUGUGCGUUCAAUAUUUUAAAAGUUUUAAAAUUAUAUUUUUCAUAUAAAAUUUAAUUUUAAAUUCUAUUUUAAGUUUAUUAACUUGUGCCCCAAAAACACAAGUUAGCAUGACCAAAAAAUUUAUACGCACAUAGUAGUAUAAGUUAAUUAAUUUAUUUUGGGUUAAUAGGCUUUUACCCCCUGCAAUAUAGGUCACUUUUGAUUUUUCCCCUGUAAAAUUUUUUUGUCAGAUUUCGUCCUUGUAAAAAUUUUUUGUUUUGAAAAACCCCCAUAGGCCAGCUGACUGUGCAUUUUCGCUGAUGUGGCACGCUGACUGUAUAAUUUUUAUUAUUUUAUUGUGUACAGGUGGCAUUUGUGAUUUUUUUUUAAAAAAAUAAUUAAAAAUAACACUUUUUAUAAAUAUUUCUUAUAAAAAAUAAUAAGAUUUUUAGAAUUUCUAAAUAAUUUUUCUUAUUAUAAAAAUAACACUUUUUAUAAAAAUUUCGAAAUUUUUACAAAAAAAAUUCAAAUUUUUCAUUUUAUGAGAUUUUUUUUAUUUUUCUAGUAUUUUAUCAGAUUUUUUUUCAUUAUUUUUAUAAAUUUUUCUAGAUUUUUUUUUCGUUUUUUUUAUUUUAAAUUUUUUUUCCUGAAUUUUUGUAUUUUUUUUAAAAAAAAAAUCACACAUGCCACGUGUAUACAAUAAAAAAUAUACAGUCAGCGCGCCACAUCAUCAGAAAAUGGUGACUCAGCGUGCCACAUCAGCGAAAAUGCACAGUUAGCUAACCUAGGGGGGGUUUUCCAAAACAAAAAAAAUUUACAAGGACGGAAUUUGACAAAAAAAUUUCACAGGGGAAAACCAAAAGUGACCUAUAUUAUCGGGGGUAAAGGUCUAUUAACCCAUUUGUUUUUGUAUAGGAAGUCUUCUAUGGUAACUAUCAAUCUUGUUCAUUUGCUCAAAAAUAAAAAUAAAAACUAUCUUUGUUCAUAAAUAGAAAAGAAGUUUAGUAGAAGGAUAAUUAUUAAAUUUUCAAGUAUAUAAGUCACAGUGUAUUCAAAGUUAACUUUCACUACUUAAAUCAUGUUUUCUUUUGGCGUAAACUCUCGCUAAGAUUUUUAAUGAUGCUACAUGUCUAAAAUUGAAUUUGAACCCAAGACCUUAAUUAUAAUAGGAGAGACCUGAAUUAUCCCAUCUUGGGGUGUACAUGUGUUGGAUCAACCAAAAAUAUCUGGUCAAACACACACAAAAACUCAAAAAAGUGGGUUGAGUUGGAUAAUUGGGUGAAUAUGAUUUCCAAAAUUGACACAAGACAUUCUUUAUAUCGAAAAUCAAAACAUGCUAAAGUUAAAAAUUAGGAUAUUGUACUUUUUGGUUAUUUUGAUGUUAAUACAAUUUUAUCUCAUGUAAUUUUAGUUUGUUCUAAGUAUUUUAUCAUCAAAUCUUAUUUGAUUUGUGAUUUAUUAUUUUAUGAUGUUAAAAUAUAGCGAAAAUAAGCUACACAAUCUUUUUCAGAAAAUAAAAAAGUUGAGUAAUUUUUAUGAAAAAAUAUGAGCUCAUCAUUUAGUUAGUUAAAAUUAACAAUAAUUUUUUUGGGUAACCCGCUACCCAACGCAACUCAAACUGAAAAUUAGUGGGUUUAGUAAACCGGUCCAAUAAUGUAACAGCUGAUUAUUUUACCACACCUAAACCGGAGUACCAUAUACGAUUUUGAUCUUUGAUUUGAUCAAACUCAACCUAAACCGACCCAACCCCUAUCUAAGCGCUCUUAAAUACUAAUUAAAUUAUGUUAUUUGUUACUCCUAACAAACAUAAUUAAUGCUCCCCUAAAAAAAAACAUAUUUAAUGCUAACUAAAGUUGGAUAUAUGAACUUGAACCAGAGGUACACAAAGAAAAAUAGAAGAGGGGAGUAAUUACCUUGUCAUCAAUGAAAUUGGACCAGAAACGAGCCAUGGCUCUUUGAUAAGGAUCAGAAGGCAAGAUAGGGUUUUGUUUCCAAGUCUCAUCAAUAUACUCAAGAAUCACAAGUGAUUCAGAGAUGGGCUUGUCAUUAUAAACUAAAACAGGAACUUUCUUAUAAACAGGGUUGUAAUUUUUGAGUGUAUCACUCAAGUUCCCAAACUUUUCGUUCUCACAUUUGUAUUCAACUCCCUUCAACUUUAGAGCUAUUUCCACCCUGGUUGAAAAUGGACUUCCCACCAUUCCAAAAACCUUCACCUCUUCCUUAUUUGAUGCCAUCGUAGAGCUUGAUCAAUUAUGUACUCAAACAACUGUUUUUGGAUUGUUGAUCGACUCCUAGGAUUUACUUUUAUACAUAGAGCAAGGAUUAUUCUGUUUGACUAUUAGGAGCAAGGAUCAUUUUUCAACAAAAAACGGUAUUCAACUAGCUAGGAAAACUAGUAAAAAAAUACUAGAAAACUAUAAUCAAAUUAAGUCAUCGAAUUUGUAGUUUUAUAAUCCAACGCCACGUAAACGGUUUAUGAAGUGAAAAAUGUCUUACUAAUAAACACUUAAUAUCACUUUUAAAGCUCAUUUGUUAUAGUUUUUUUAAAAAAAAAUAUAUUUUAUUUUAUAAAAAUAAUCACUUUUAAGAGUGUUGCAUCGUAGACGUAAGUACUUUGUCAUUUUAUUCUAUUAACAUGGAUGCUGAGUUUGUUCACAGAUUCAACCUUUUUGAUUUUAGCGAAUUUAGAUUUGUAUUGUAUCGAUAUACUCUCUCAAUUUGAAUGAAUGAAUAUCGUUUAUUUUUGUCAAAAAAAGAGUGUUGCAUCAUUUGUUACAGUUUUAAAAAAAAAAAUCAGAAUAUAAAAAAAUAAUCUAAAAACAGCUUCAAAUGAGAAGUUGUUAAGAUCAACUUCUCAAAAAAAAAAAAAAAAAGAUUUUUUUAGAGGAAAGAGAAAAUAUGGUUUAAAAAAUCUAAUUAAUUUUGUAACGAAAAAUCCCUUUUAUAUAGUUGUAUCCAACUAAACUAAAUUAUUUGUUUAAAAAAGGUGAUUUUUAUUGCGGUAAACAAACACUGAAUAGAUUAUAAUUAUUCAUAAAAUCUCUAAAAUAUAAUCUAUAAAUUAUUUUAUGUCAAAAUAACUUUUAUUUUAAUCUGUAAGAAACGAACCCUUAAUUUGUGGCUCUUAACACAUACUUUCACAUCCAGGCGUGGCGAACCAUAAAAAGAUGUUCGGGUGGGCUGCCACAAUAAACUAUAAUACUUACUGGUGGGAUGGGUCAUGGCCCACCCAUGCAAAGGGGCUCCACCAUUGCAUUUAGGAUUGAACAUCUGGAUCACGAUUUGAGUGAUACGACAUUGGAAACAUGAUAGCAGAUGAUCCGACGAAUCUUGAAAUAAACUUUGAUAUCAUUUUGAAUGGAUAUUCAUGGAUAAAAUAAACAGGUUUUUUAACUACCCGCUAAUUAAUGGAUACGGAUGCGGAUUUAAUGGUAUCCACACCCGCGGAUAUCCAUACUUGCUAUUAAACCGAGUAAAUUACAUAAAUAACCUCAAUAUCAUUCAACUUCCUAAGAAAACACGAUACGUAUUGUGAGUGUUAUAAGUUAUUACGCUCCUUUAAAAGGAAUUGAAAGUGGUUGGGAUUGUUGAAGCAAAAGAUUUGUUUAUGUUGAAUAUGAUGAACUUUACUUAUGUUUUUGUUAAAUCAAAGAAUUUUAUUUUUAUUAAAUGUAAGGGACUUUUUUUAUGUUUUUGUUGAGUCAAUGAUCUUUGUUGUUAUUGUAAUGUAUGAACAUGAUGUUUUGCUAAAAAGAAAAGUAAAUGCAUGUGAAGAACCUUUGUUUAUGAAUUUUAGCUAAAAAAAAAAUUAAACAAUUUUUUAUUUUAUUUUUAUAAAUGUUAUUUAUGGAUAUCUGUAUAAACUCGCGGAUACCUAAAAAUCCGUGGAUUACUCGCUAAAUGGAUAUCCCCACGGAUAUGGAUAGGGUACGGAUUUCAUAUUUAUCUAACGGAGUGGACACGGAUAUCGCACUAUCCGCAUCCAUGGAUAUCCAUUUACAUCCGUAUGCAAUGUUGGUGCAUAUUCUUAGGGAAUAAAACAUGUGUGAAAAUUUUAUGGAUAAAGAAUGAUCACAUGCAAGAUGCUCUGCUCACUAAAACUACCCUCCGUCUGACAUGAAAUCUCUCAUUCUAAGAUAUAAGCUUGGGACUUAAUUUCGACUUUUUUUUUUUUCUUUUUCUUUUUGCCUCGUUGCAUUGAAACACUACUAAAAAAAAGAAUUACCACCUUUUAUAAACAUUUAUUGAUUUCAUAUUAAAAAUUGUAACCCAAAAGAAAAUUUCCUAUUAAAAAAUGUAUGACAACGUGAAUGUCCAACAAGUGAUGUAAGGGAUUACGUAGCUAUAAGCAAUUAAAUUAUCGAGAAUUUUUUGACCAAACAUUAACGUAAGAGUUUUAAUCCUUACACGCAACUAAUUUUGGGGAAUUAGGAAAAACAAUAACUUAUAUAAUGUGAUUUUUUUUAACAAACGAAAAUGGAUUAUAUUAACAACAACAUAAAGAUCUUAGUAGCACAAAGUGUGCUAGGAAAAACCUCAAAAGUUUACGGUCAAAGAAUAGUAACCUAAGGAAACAAAAAUAAGUUAGUCGAUGCCCGUACAAACAAAAGGACUUAACCACCACAUAUGAAAGUUUGAACUAAAAUUGACAUUAUAAGCUUUCCGCCAUAAAAAAAUAAUGUAACUUGACUGUUUCUAGCAGCUGAUGAAUUGUAUUUUCCUUAUUCUUGACAACUUUAAUAUUUUGAUCAUUCCACAAGACCCAAACACAACAUAACCAGAUAAUCUGCAUGAAAGAAUGUCGUGUUCUCGAGCCACUAGAGGAGUCAACAAACUGAACAACAUGAUCCAGAAGAGAGUUCGAAUCGGCCGAUGAGAUGCCCAUCCAAGACCUAACCAAGCUCUAAAGGGGGGUGAAACAAGGACAGGAGAGAAACAAAUGGUGAGCCGUCUCUAAGCCUCCGCACCCAAUCACGCAUAAUUGAGAGUCAUGAGAAAUAAUGUCACGCGUCACCAAAUUAUCUUUAGUUUGUAGUCUGUUCUGAAUAAUGUCACGCGUCACCAAAUUAUCUUUAGUGAGCGAUUUAUAAACACCCUUAACCGAACCACCGCAAUGAUCGUACCUCCAGUAUCACGGAUAUAUAAAAUUAGACUGUAAAGAAAUAUCAUGCAUGAAGUAAACUCCUACACUCCCCUAGCAAUUCCUCCUCCCAUACUCGUAACCGACGGCGCCACUGUCAAGACGACCCUCCUUCCUCCCACCCUAAACCACACAUAUCCGCUACCGUACUCAACUUAUUCUCAGACAAGUCGAAUAUGCGGCUAAACUUCAUAGAAAAGGAACUCCUCCUAACCACGGGUCCAUCCAGAAAAAAGUAUUUACACCAUUACCAACCCUUCUCAAAAUACUCUCUUCAAACCACCCUCCCCCCUCAACACCUACACCAUCACGAAUUUUCGCUACCUCCUGCGAGCACAAAGAACCACUCUGACCGAUAACCACCAACUUCCCUGCCUCCUCACCGUAACGAGCUACCAACAACCUAUACCACAAACCUCAUAUGUCUACUAACAACCUCCAGCACCAUUUAUCUAACAAAGAAAUGUUAAACUCUCUCAUCUGCCUAACUCAUAACCCGCCAAGCUCUUUUCGUAAACAAACAUUUUUCCAACCAAUCCAAUAAAUUUUUUAAUUAUCCUCACUCUCUCCCAAAAAAAUAAUAAUUAAAUAAAGAUUGAUUAGAAGAGAUUGUACCUCACGGAUCUUUGAAAAAGGAAAAAGUAUAGACAGAUUGGAAAGUCAUGACAUACUUAAAAAAUGUCAAUCGACCACCAAAAGAAAGAGAGCGACUCUUCCACCAAGACAGUCUAUUUUUAAUGCGCGUUAGAAUUGGACCCCAAAACAACAAUCGUCGAGGAUCACCACCAAUAUGGAGGACCAAAUACAAUAAAACCACCUAUCCCACCUUACAAUCCAAAACAGAAGCCGCCUCAGUCAGCCAAGAAUCAACAAUAUUAACCUCAACCAGCAUACUCUUAUUAAAAUUCACCUUCAACCCAGAAACUGCUUGGAAGAGAACAAGGAUCUCCCGCAAAGCACAAACAUUUGCCCAACUUUUAACACCUAAAAGUAACGUAUCAACGGCGAACUGAAGAUGGGAAUAAUAAUCGAGUUAACAAAACCAAUGUUGUACCCAGUGAAAAUGUUGGACUGAAUCAUGACUCUCAUCAUCACAUUCAAACCCUCUGCUUCCAACAAAAGGAGGAAAGGAGAAAGAUGAUCACCUUGUCAUAGACCCCUCUUCAUCGCAAACUCAUUUAUGGGGAUCUCAUUGACUAAAACGGAUAUGGUAGCCAUGCACACACAUUAUUUGAUCUAUUUCUGCCACAAAGUUUGAAAAGACAUUUUUCUCAUGACUGCAUCUAAAUACCCCCAAUUCACCGAGUCGUAAGCCUUUUCAAAAUCUACUUUAUAUAAAUAAUAGCUCCUUCUUAAAUUUACAAGUUUCAUCCACCACCUCAUUCGCAAUAAAAAUCCCAUCAAGAAUAUUUCUAUCUUUAACAAAUGUCGUCUAAGACUCAGAAAUAACACUGCCUACAAGCAACCGAAGUAUGUUUGCUAUAACCUUCCCGAAAAUUUUAUAGAGACUUCCCUCAAAAGAGAUAGAUUGAUAAUUAUUUAAAUUUUGUGGACUUUCAACUUUAGGAAUAAGAGCUAUGAAAGUAUUAUUUAUAACUUUUGUCAAUUUACCAUUCCGGUGAAACUCUGAAAUAAAACUCAUAAUGUCAUUUUCAUAUCAAUCCAAAAUUCGUUUAAAAAAUCAAAAUUAAUUCCAUCAGAACCAGUACUCUUAUAACUGUCACAAUCCCACACAACUGCUGUAACUUCUUCAGCAGAAAAAAGGCAUAUACAAACUACCGCCUUCCGCAAAAGACAAAGUCCGGAACUGAAAAAUCAUCUACCCUCGGCCGAUCCCUGUUACAUGCGCUAAACUAAGAGGAAAAGUGCGAAAAAAAACUUGGCGAAUGGGAUGCACACCCUCCACGAGACAAAGAAUGGAUGUAUGAUGUAAUACCAUGCAAUUCAACAACCUCAUCUUAUGUCAACACCUUAUCUUCCCCUUUACAAUCUAAAAUAGAUAAACUAGCCUUGAGAGACUCUAUCUUUCCUGGUAAAUUCUUGUUAUGAGAAACAUGUCACUCAUUUAGAGCCAGUUUAAUCAACUUCUUUCAGAACAAAUCCUCCCCACCUAUCGACUUGCAAGGAUUUUCAUUUACUAGUCACAAAUUGUUGAUACCCAGGAAUAUCUUGCCAACAUUUCAACAUCAUUAGGGGCGCGAGGACCCCAAUUUUCCUUAUCCACUGACAACAAAGGACAAUGAUAUGAAAAUCCCCUCAAUUGAGCCAUUUGCAAACAAUUAGGCCAAACCAAACACUAAUCCUUAAAAAGAAGAAAUCUAUCAAUCCGACUCACUGAGAGACCAUCGCCCUUAUACCAGGUAAAUUUUCAGCCACACAACGGUAAAUCGACUCACACCGAACAUCAAUAAAAUCCCCAAAAACAUACACCUUCUUCCCACCAAACAAAUGUAACGGACCCGAUAACGACUCCCAAAUCAACUGCUUUGCAUUAUUCUCGCAUGGAGCAUAAAUAUUAGACAAGUGGAACUCCUCAUUUGUUUUGAUAAACCUGUCAUGAAUCAUCAACAUAUGAUUAAAAAUGAUGGAAGAACAUACCUCCAACUCCACAGUAUCCCACAAAACUGACAAUCCCGUCGAGCCCCCCAACCGAGGGACGAAAGGAAAAAUCAUGAGGCGAGUUACCCCACAAUGAAACACAUAAAAAAUCGUCACACACAACAAGCUUAGUUUCUUGGAUACACAUAAUAAAGCGAUUCUUGUCCCUGAUCAAUUUCCUGCCUCUUCUUUAACCCACCCAACCCCCGUACAUUCCAUGAAAAAAAAUUAUUCUUCCCCAUUACCCCCUUCACGCCCCCACCAACCACACUAACAACUACCUCCCAGCGUCCCACUUCCUCUCCUAUAUUUUUCUACUUCCUCAUUCCUAUUUCCGCUCUAGACAACACACUAAACAUAUUUGCAUUAUCACCAUUAAACUUGACACAUCUUGCUUUCCUAAUACCCUAAACAUCCUCUGCAACCACUUUCUCAUUCUUAUGCAUAACCACCCAAUGUUCCCAAUACUUAUUAACAAAUGCUAAAGAAGUACAUGUAUUUGAAGAAACUUGAUUGACCAUUUCAAUUGACUUGCUGACUCUACUUCUACCACUACGUCUUCUAACAUCACUCGAACCAUACAACAACUCAGUAACAUCCCUAACCUUAGAAAAUCUCACAAACCAGUACACUUCACCAUAAAACAUUAUGCUUCCUAGCAAGAAACACAUACUCUAGAAUCCGACAUACUUCAAAUUCCUUGCUUAAAUGAAUAUGGAGAAUUUGUUCCGGAAAGUUCAUAAAAUAGAAAAUAACAAACCUUUUAAAACCACAUUUGAUAUGCACUAAUGUGGGUUUUACCUGCAAUUUUUGCAUUUAUAGUGUGAAUUUCACUAAUAUAGACUUUCUAAAACCUAAAUUUCUCAUAAAGAUAAGUGGACACACAAUUUCAUACACAAAUACAACACCAUGGAUAAAAUAGUAAUUUUGGUGUAAAUUAGACUGGUAAGUUGAUUAUUCGACCUUGUUCUUUCCUUUUCUAUACCUUUCUCCUUCUUUUCUCCCUGCAACUACAAGGUCCUGCAUUUACAACACCACACUAUUCCAACCAUCACCACCACCGUUCUCAUUAGUCACAACCACCAACGUCCUCACCGCACCCUCCAUCCUAACCACCACCAUUGUACUCGUCAAUCUCCACCACAGUCAGUAAAAAAAAAAAACAAAAGCAUGAUGUGUAUUUAAUAUUUCUCUUUUGAAAAUGAACUAGUAUAUAGAACACAUGUGUCCGCACAUGUAACUUUAUCUGUAAUAAUUGUUACAAAAUAUAUUUAUUAAAAAUACAUUUGGGAGAGUCCUCACUUAUCCAAUAUGUGACUAUUUAACUUAACAACAACAGAGGUGUGGGUUGACUGGGGUGAAGACUUAGAAAGGAACCAAAUUAUUGGUAAGGAGUUGAAAUGCUAGAGUAUUAACAAGAACAACAAAAUGCUAGAAUUUCUUAACCAAGGAGAAAUCUUAGGUUGCAUAUAUCUAGCAUGACAUCAAAAUUCAAACAUAAACUUUAAUUUUUUUUGUGGUGUUCGGGAUUCGAACCCAGAAUCUUGCAUAUAUUAUUGCAUUGUCCUUACCAACUGAGUUAAGCUUACGACGACAUUCAAACAGAAACUAAAAUGACAAACAAGUUAUUUAGACAUUUUCCUUAAAUUUGACAAGUACAUGUCACCUUAAAUUGAUCUAUUUUGAACCAAAAUGACUUUCAUAACGAGCUUUGUAGAAGGCCAAAAGGGUCUCUCUAGGAGGCAGUUUUUCCUUGACAAUUGGGUGAUUGUUGAAUUCUUGGCUCCAAUUGUAAAGCUUUGGAAAUUCUUCACUUGUGAACAAUUUCAGUCCAAAUGCUUCUUGUAUAAUAGGAAUCCAAAAAGCUAUGAGUACGGCUGCAAUGUCAACAAAGCCAAUCUCCUCCCCACCAAAGAAUUUGUCUUUGAGCUCAUUCUCAAGAAAUUGAAGAGCCUCUUUUGUUUCCUCAAUACUCUUCUCACGUUCUUUCUCAUCAAGAGUGAAACAAGCUUUCCGUACACCACUCAAACACUGCAAAAAGAAAUGUUACGCACAUAGUAGUAUAAGUUCAUUAAUUUGCUUUUUUUAUAUAAGAAGUUUUCUAUGGUAACUUUCUUUUUCUAUGGUAACUAUUAAUUUGCAAGUAUAGGGUAAGGCAUAUGCCACUCUUAAAGAGUUGUGGAUAACUUAUCUAACAAUCAUGAAAACUAAUCAUAUGAGUAGAUUUUGCAAAUGGUUUCACAAACUAAUUUUUACUAUAGUUGUAAAUUAGUUUAUGUGGCUCAUUUUCAUUGGUUAUUGAAAAAAUUAAUCACAGUUCUUCAAGAAAUAGUUUAGAAAAAACAUAUUUGUUAUUCUUACGUUAAUUAUAUUAAAAAUCAAUUUGAGAUUUAUUAAAGAACUCUUCUUCGAGAAGAGAGUGGUAAGAUCUAAUUUUAAUGAGAAGGGGACACCCUAUCCACCCAACUCACAUCUCUCCAUUAUCUUAUUUCUCGAUAAAUGAUAUUUAUACAAUCACUUUUUAACAACUUUUGGAACAACCGUCUCUUUUAUAUUCGCAUGUGUUUUUAUCCUCUCUCUCUUCUUCUCUCUCUCUAUUGUUUUUAUCCAAUAAAAAAAGAGAAAAAGUGGUUUUCAAAAAAGUUGUCUAAAAUUGAUUGUAUAAAAAUCUUUCUUCUUGUUUCUCCUCUCUCAUUGUUUUAUGCCUAGAGAGAACAUGUGGUGUGAGACUCCUCCAAGAUGUAAAAUUGGUGUUAAGUGUUUAAAUAUUACUCAUUUUAAUUUAAGAGAGAAUAAAAGAUACUUCCUCUAUCUCAUUUUAAAUGACAUACUUUAAAAAUGUGUAUUAUUCACAUAAUAUAUUUUGACAAUAUUUUUAUAUUAGGCUAAAAUAUGGUUUUAGUCCCUGCAAAUAUGGCUCGUUUUGGUUUUAGUCUCUGUAAAAAAAAAAAAUUGUUUUUGGUCCCUGCAAUUUUUUUUUGUUUUUUAAAAUAGUCCCUGGAGGGACUAUUUUAAAAAACAAAAAAAUUUUGCAGGGACCUUUUUAAAUAAAAAUAUAUUUUGCAGGGACCAAAAACUACAAAAUCGGUUUAGUCAUCAUGUGCCACGUAUACAAAUCAUCACAAAAAUGGGGUCAGAGACUAUUUUAAAAAACAAAAAAUUUUGCAGGGACCAAAAACAAUUUUUUUUUUACAGGAACUAAUACCAAAACGAGACAUAUUUACAGAGACUAAAACCAUAUUUUAGCCUUUAUAUUAAUAUACAAAGACAAAAAUUGGUGUAUAAAAUAUUGAAUUUGUCUCAACGAAUAUUUUCAAAAUCCAAUUAUCAUAAUUUUUUUAAUAUAUUAUUAAAGAUAUUUAAGAUUAAAAUUAUGCAUUUUAGAAGAAUAUGGCCCAAUCCCUGUGAGCUUAACUCAAUUGGUAGGGAUAUUGCAUGUUAUAUGUAGGGGUCGGGGUUCAAACCCCAAACACCCUAUUUCUCCACGUUUAAUUGUGUGAGCUCUAGGCAAUAGACAGCUUGACAAAAAAAAAAAAGACAUGGCCCAAAACACACCUAAGAUCUCAAAUUUAGUUACACAAAUAUUUAAUGCUAACUUAAGUUGGAUAUUUGAACUUGACUAGAGUUACACAAAGAAAAUAGAAGAGGGGAGUAAUUACCUUGUCAUCUAUGAGGUUGGACCAAAAUCGAACCAAGGCUCUUUGGUAUGGAUCAGAAGGCAAUAUUGGAUUUUGUUUCCAAGUCUCAUCAAUAUAUUCAAGAAUCACAAGUGACUCUGCUAUAGGCUUAUCAUUAUGAAUAAAAACAGGAACCUUCUUAUAAACAGGGUUGUAUUUUUUGAGUGUAUCACUCAAGUUCCCAAACUUCUCUUUCUCGUAUAUAUAUUCAACUCCCUUCAAUUUUAGAGCAAUCUCCACCCUUGUUACAAAUGGACUUUCAACCAAUCCAAAAACCUUCACCUCUUCCUUAUUUGAUGCCAUCGUAGAGCUUGAUCAAUUAUUUACUCAAACUACAGUUUUUGGAUCGUUGAUUGAUUCCUAAGAUUUACUUUUAUAUAUAGAGCAAUGAUUAAUCUGUUUGAAUAUUAGGUGCAAGGAUUAUUUUUAAACAAAAAAAAUGGUAGUCAACUAUAGAAAACUAAUAAGAUAAUACUAGAAAACUAUAAUGACUUUGAGUCUUAGAAUUUUUUAUUGGACUAUCACAACUCCAAAAAAUUAGUUUGCAACGUGAGAACUAUCUCUACUUAAUUAUAAACAUUUAUUUAAAUCAUAUCACUUUAUUAAUGAAAAUUGUCUUCAAAUUUCUUUACAUCUAUAUUUUUCAAAUGAAAGAAAUAGAGAUAAUCCUCCUCCAAAGAAACGACCCCUCAUCUAAAAUUUUCUUAAAUGAAAGUCAUGGCCUAGACAGUUCACUUUUCCUAUAUGAGAACGGGAAUGUCCAAAAAAGUGACGUAAGGGAUUACGUAACUAUAAGCAAUGAAUAUCAAGAAAUUUUUGGCCAAACACAAGUGCAAGAGUUUUUUCCUUACACGCGGUGAAUUAUGAAGAUAAAAAAACUAUAUACUAUGAUUAUGUUUAGAAAGUCUUUUUUAUUUUAAAGGAGAUUAUGUUUAGAAAGUCAUACGUUAAAAUAUACACCAUCCAGUCACUAUUAUAAGCAAAAAUCAACAUUUUAGAUUCAUUCAUUAAAUGAUGUAUAUAAUCUAUAAUAAAGAUUUACUUAAAGGACCCCUUAUAUAAUUUAACCUAUUUUGUAUUUAUCAACUAGUUUAACGGCUUCCUUAAAAAAAACUAGUUUAACCGCUUCUUUAGAAGAAAAAACUAGUUUAACCAUGUUAUAAAAUUAACAAAGUAUUAUCAAAAGUUGUAUCGUAUAGAAUAGUAGAGAGAAAGAGAAAAAGGGAGAAGAAGAAAGUAUAUUGUUUUACUUCACAAGUGUGUACUUUACAUUACAACUUGAGUCCUAUUUAUAGGAUACAAAUAGUAAGUGAAUGAUCAAAUUUAAUUAAACAUCACUAAGAAUCCACUCACUAAUGGGAGUUAUAAGAAUAUGGAAGAUCAAGGAUAUGGACAUCCACUAAUAUUCAUAACAUUUCUCAUUGGAUGUCCAUCGAGGAUAUGCCUCAUUAAAACAUUACUAGAGAAAAACCCGAUGGGAUGAGAUAUUGUCUUCAUAUGGAGUGUUAGAAAGAGUCUCCUUAUAAAACUAGAAAAUCACAAGUUUUUUGUAUGUGUGAAAUCAUAAUCCUUAACAACGAGCAUUCUCCACUUGCUAACAUUUUUAAAUGAUCGGAUGAUAGUGUUGUUUCUUUAAGAUACAAAUUGUAUUUUUGACUUUGCUGCAAUAUUUGUAUUUACUAACAUUGACAAAAAUAAAAUACCAUGAUAUAUAUAAUAUGCAAAACGCAUUAGUGUCCUUACUAUGAUAACACUAGUCUUGUGUCUCGUUUAUUCAAGGCAUGAUAUUUCCCUUAGUGUGAUUUUUUGAGUUCUAGGCUUGGAGCUAAUCCCAGCUAUGUAUGGCGAAGUAUAUUCAGUGCUAAAAUUGUGGUUAAAUAGGGUGCUAGAUGGAGGAUUGGUUCCGGUGCUAGUGUUCCUUUGUUUGGUGCUUCAUGGCUUAAAGAUGGAUGUUCCCUCUCAACACAAAGCCUUCUUUAUGAGCCACUUGCUCAUGUCAAAGUUCAAUACAUCAUCGAACCAUUGAAAAAGGUUUGGAAUGCUGCCUUAAUUUCUAAUCUGUUUGAUCAUAAUACUUCCUAGCUUAUUUUAAAUACUCAUCUCCUUCCUCUUGUUCAUGAAGAUAAAAUUAUUUGGAAGGCUGAGAAAAUGGUAGUUAUUCUGUUCAUAGUGCAUAUCAAAUUUGUGUUACAAAAAUUGCAGAUAACUCUCAUUUGCAUGUUUCGGGUAAGUGGAGUUCGAUUUGGAAGCUUAAGGUCCCUCCCAAGAUUCAAAACUUUGUUUGGCGUGUGUGUCGGGGUUGUUUCGCUACACGUGCACGCCUAAGUAGUUGUGGUAUUCAUUGUCCUAAUGAUUGUGUGGAACUAAUUAUGAAGAUAUCAUUCAUGUCUUAUUAGAAUGUUCAGGUGCGAUGCAAGUGUGACGGGAGGUUAACUUAUCGGAUAUUAUUGAUAGAACUUUACGUCAAAAUUAUAACAUGAAUUCUUUGAUCUUUUCUCUUCUUGACCAACUGCCGUUUGCGCAAAAAGAAUUGUUUGUGAUGAUCAUGUGGAGCUUGUGGAAGCGUAGGAAUUUAAAAUUAUGGCAACAACAAAAUGAAACGCGUAUGCAUGUUGUUGAACGAGCCCGCCACCUCUUAGAUGAUUGGAGAACCGCCCAAGAAGUCAGAUCGCACAAAGCGACUGGCAUCCCUGCACAACCGAACAUUGUUAUUCAUGGUCCUGUCAUCGAGUGGACGAAGCCGACAUAUGGUAGGUACUAAUAUAAUAUUGAUGCCUCCUUUUCUAACUCUCUAAAUAUGGUAGGUAUUGGCAUAUGUAUUUGUGAUGUUCAUGGUGAGUUUGUCAUGGCUAAGAUAGACUGUUUCUCUCCUCUUUGUGAUGUUGAUGUCGGCGAGGUUGUUGGACUUCACAUGGCGUUACAAUGGGUGGCUGAUCUUCAUUAUGACCAUGUUAAUUUUGUUUUGGAUUCCAAGUCUGUUGUUGUACACUUUAAUUCAAACCUAGGUGAUAGUAGUGAACUAGGUUGUAUCAUUCAGGUUUGUAGGCAGUUGUUUGAUUGUAAUUUUCAGAACUCUCAUAUCGAGUUCAAUAGGAGGCAAGCCAAUGGGGUCGCUCAUGAAUUAGAUAGGGUAGAUCCAUCUCAUGCUAGCUCCCACAUUUAUGAUGAUGUACCGUCAUAUAUCCGAGACUUGAUAGUUAAUGAAAAGCAAUGAUUUCUUCCAAAAAAAAAAGGUAUAUUCGGUCAGAAAAAGAGCAAAAUAUAAGACAUCAUACCCUCUCAUUAUACUUCCAUGAGGGAUAAUCCCCAUGGAAAUUUUAUUACAAACUGAAAUCCAAGGCUCAAUAUAUCUAAUUUGACAUGAAAAAUCAAACAUAAACAACUAAAUGACAAACAAGUAGUUUAAACAUAUCUCUUUAAAUCUCCCCAAAACAUAUGACUAAAAUUAAUCUAUUUUGAAGCAACAAGACUUUCAUAACGAGCUUUGAAGAAGGCCAAAAGUCCUUCUCUACGAGGCAAGUUUUCCUUGACAAUUGGGUGGUUGUUGAAGUCUUGACUCCAAUUGUAAAGCUUAGGAAAUUUCUCACUUGUGAACAACUUCAAUCCUGUUACUUCUUGUACAAUAGGGAACCAAAAAGCUAUGAAGACCGCAGUAAUGUCAAUAAGUCCAAUAUCAUCUCCACCAAAGAACUUGUCCUUGAGCUCAUUCUCAAGAAAUUGAAAAGCGUCUUCUGUUUCCUCAAAACUCUUCUCACGUUCCUUCUCAUCAAGAGUGAAAGCAGUUUUCCAUGCAGGAAUCAUACACUGGUCUCACAAAUUAAGGUCAUUAUAAAAAUUAGGCAUGUAAAAUAAAAGUAAGAAAAAAGAAUAAAUGUUAUGUUCUGUUGAAAUUUGGGGCCGCCUAACUCAUCCUUACAAAACCGGCUUGUAAGGUGAUGAUUGUCUUCUCUUUAUAUAUGAGACUUGAGUUUUUUCCAAUACACCCCCUCACGCCCAUCACUCUUUGGGCUUGGUGCGUGAAUAGGUAGGUAACCCUUGAAUUCGACAAACUCUAAUACCAUGUCAAAAUUUGGGGUAAGAGUCUCAUCUAUCCUAUGUGGGACUUGGGUUUUUCCCAAUACACCUCCCUCACGCCCAGCACUCUUUGAGCUUGGUGCAUGAAUAGGUAGGUGACCCUUGAAUUUGACAAGCUAUUAUACCAUGUUGAAAUUUGGGGCCUAACUCAUCCUUACAAAACCAACUUGUAAGGUAAGAAUUGCCUCCUCUUUAUAAACUGUCAUCAAAAGUCUUAUUUAUCCGAUGUGAAACUUGGGUUUUUCCCAAUAUGUUUCUUGAGUUGGUAGAAUAAGAAAAUAAACACCAAUUGAACACCAAUUUCUUACGUUGUGAGAGUAUUGCACCUUCCAUUAGCCAGAACAUUUGUAGAUAUGUUAAAUUGUUAUGUUAUUCGUUCAAAUUAUGUUCCUUAAGUUGGUAGAACUCAAAUUAUGUUCAACUUAAGAGCGUACUCGUUCUUCAACAAGAUAGUAGUAAGAAUUUUUUAAGGGUGUGUAAAAGAUGAAUGUAAAGUGAGAGAAAAAAUAAUAAAUCCUUAGAUAUUGGUUCAAAUGUGCUGUUUGUAAUAUUGGUCUCGUGAAAAUUAUAAACUAUAAAAUAACUUACUUUUAAUUUGUUUUUAAUCAAAUUACAUCAUAAGUCAUUUAAGUUAUUUAAUAGUAAUCAAUUAGUUUAGAGUUUUUUUUCGUACCACUUAUAUCAUUUAAGUUAUUUUCCUUCAAACAAAAUCAUUUAAGUUAUUUAAUUGUAACAAAUUAGUUCUUUAAAUAUUUUUCGUAACGCUUAAUUCUUUUAUGUUAUUUAAUUGUAAUUUUUAAGCUCCAAAUAACUUAAAUAACCUAAUUGAUAAAAAAAUAAAAAAACUUGAAGAUUUAACUUGUUAAAAUUAACUAAUAUAAAUGACCUCCUUCAAAUAAAAACAAAGAUAAAAGAUCUAAGUGGUACGAUAAAAAUUGAAAGAACCAAUUUAUUAUAAUUAAAUAACUUAAAAAUUCUCUAGUGUAAUUUAAUCUUUUUUAGUUUUAGUAUAGUUUUGUUCCAAUCGAGUUGAUCAGAUUUUAGAUGUCUCCUUAAGAGGAGCCUUGGACUUCCACAAAUUUACAAUGUUGCUGAAGUCUAUCCCCUGCACUAGACCCAUAUUGGUUAAGAUAGCUUAUUCAUACACCUCAUACUCUUGGUUCGAUUAAGCAAAUCUUAUAAACUAAUUAAAUAAAUUGUAAGUUAUAUAAAAACUAUAAUUAUAACAAUAUUUUAAAUUUUAAGAAAUAUACUUAAAUUAAGAUAAAAUUUUAUCUACAUAAAUGUUUAGUAUCAUAGUGAGUAUGAUAGAAUCACAAUAACCCACAAGAAUUUUUUAAAAGUUAAACUUUGUAGUUUCUAUAAAAUCACAGUGGAUUAUCGUAAUUCUGACAUAUCUUUCGUGAUACUAAAGACGCACAAAGAUUUUUAAACUAUCAAAAUUUUAUUUUUUUAAGAAUAAGCAAUCAAAAUUAUUGUGUUAAUUAAUUAAAGUAAAAUAAAUGGACUUGACAUAAAAAAUUAACUUACUCAAAGAUUUCAUCCUAAUUAAAGUUGGAUAUAAAUCACUAAAAAAAGAGAUGAUUGAAAUUACCUUAUCAUCUAUAAACUUGGACCAGAAACGUGCCAAGGCUCUUUUAUAAGGAUCAGAAGGCAAGAUUGGAUUUUGUUUCCAAGUCUCAUCAAUAUAUUCAAUAAUCACAAGAGAUUCUG
rnacentral:lncRNA from 1 species